rnacentral:ncRNA from 1 species
AUAAAGUUUUAUUUUGGCUUAAAAUUUAAUUUUUUAAUUUUUAUAUAUGUAAAUUUUUGUAUAAUAUAAAUUUAAAUAAUUUUUAUUUUCUUUGCAGUAUAAAAUUUUAAAUUUUAAGUUAUUUUAGAUUUAGAAAUUUAUUUUAGUAUAAACUAAGUUUGUGCCAGCAGUUGCGGUUAUACAAUCUAUACAAAUUAAAUUUAUUUAGUAUAAUUAAAUAAAUAAUUUUUAAUUUAAGAUAAAAUUUUUUAAGUGAAAUUUAAAAUUUUAAAAAAUUAUAUAAAUAUUUUUGAAGUUAAGAAAAUUAAUAUUAAACUAGGAUUAGAUACCCUAUUAUUAUAAUUGUAAAUAAAAAAACUAAAAUUAUUAAAAGUUAAAGUCUUUAAAAUUAAAAAUUUUGGCGGUAUUUUAGUCUUUUCAGAGGAACCUGUUUUAUAAUUGAUAAUCCACGAUUUAUCUAACUUUAUUUUUAAAUUUGUAUAUCGUCGUAGUUUGAAUAUUUUAUUAGAAAAUUAAAUAUUCAGUUCUUUAAAUUUAAAGAGAAUUCAGAUCAAGGUGCAGUAUAUAAUAAAGAAAAUAUGGGUUACAAUAUAAAUUAUAUUUGGAUUUUUUAUUUAAAAUAUAAAAUAAAUUGGAUUUGAAAGUAAUUUUUAAAAAAUUUUAAAAAUGAUUAUGCUCUAAAAUAUGCACAUAUCGCCCGUCGCUUUCUCUUUAAGGGGAAAUAAGUCGUAACAAAGUAGGCUUAUUGGAAAAUGAGCCUAGAAUUAC